rnacentral:rRNA from 1 species
GACGAACGCUGGCGGCGUGCUUAACACAUGCAAGUCGAACGGAAAGGCCCUGCUUUUGUGGGGUGCUCGAGUGGCGAACGGGUGAGUAACACGUGAGUAACCUGCCCUUGACUUUGGGAUAACUUCAGGAAACUGGGGCUAAUACCGGAUAGGAGCUCCUGCUGCAUGGUGGGGGUUGGAAAGUUUCGGCGGUUGGGGAUGGACUCGCGGCUUAUCAGCUUGUUGGUGGGGUAGUGGCUUACCAAGGUUUUGACGGGUAGCCGGCCUGAGAGGGUGACCGGCCACAUUGGGACUGAGAUACGGCCCAGACUCCUACGGGAGGCAGCAGUGGGGAAUAUUGCACAAUGGGCGGAAGCCUGAUGCAGCAACGCCGCGUGCGGGAUGACGGCCUUCGGGUUGUAAACCGCUUUCGCCGGUGACGAAGCGUGAGUGACGGUAAUGGGUAAAGAAGCACCGGCUAACUACGUG